rnacentral:rRNA from 1 species
GUGAAAUACAAAUCGGACUAGGAUAUAGCUGGUUUUCUGCGAAAAUUGUUUUGGCAAAUUGUUUAUUCCUCUCAAAAAUAGUAGGUAUAGCACUGAAUAUCUCGAGGGAGUAUGAAAAUAUUUAUCUCAGAUAUUUAAUCUCAAAAUAACUAUUUCUUAAAAUAAAUAAUCAGACUAUGUGCGAUAAGGUAGAUAGUCGANAGGGAAACAGCCCAGAACAGUAAUUAAAGCUCCCCAAUUAAUAUUAAGUG